rnacentral:rRNA from 1 species
CCCUUAGAUGUUCUGGGCCGCACGCGCGCUACACUGGUGCAUUCAACGAGCCUAUCCUUGACCGACAGGUCCGGGUAAUCUUUGAAUCUGCAUCGUGACGGGGAUAGAUUAUUGCAAUUAUUAAUCUUCAACGAGGAAUGCCUAGUAGGCGCAAGUCAUCAGCUUGCGUCGAUUACGUCCCUGCUCUUUGUACACACCGCCCGUCGCUCCUACCGAUUGGGUGUGCUGGUGAAAUGUUCGGAUCGGCCGUUUGUCGCGGUUUCCGCGGCUCGUGGCUGAGAAGUUCAUUAAACCCUCCCACCUAGAGGAAGGAGAAGUCGUAACA